GUGGGGAAUUUUGGACAAUGGGCGCAAGCCUGAUCCAGCAAUGCCGCGUGCAGGAAGAAGGCCUUCGGGUUGUAAACUGCUUUUGUACGGAACGAAACGGUCCUGGUUAAUACCUGGGGCUAAUGACGGUACCGUAAGAAUAAGCACCGGCUAACUACGUGCCAGCAGCCGCGGUAAUACGUAGGGUGCGAGCGUUAAUCGGAAUUACUGGGCGUAAAGCGUGCGCAGGCGGUGCUGUAAGACAGGCGUGAAAUCCCCGGGCUCAACCUGGGAAUUGCGCUUGUGACUGCAGUGCUGGAGUACGGCAGAGGGGGAUGGAAUUCCGCGUGUAGCAGUGAAAUGCGUAGAUAUGCGGAGGAACACCGAUAGCGAAGGCAGUCCCCUGGGCCUGUACUGACGCUCAUGCACGAAAGCGUGGGGAGCAAACAGGAUUAGAUACCCCGGUAGUCC
rnacentral:rRNA from 1 species